rnacentral:tRNA from 1 species
GUCUAGGUAGCUCAGAGCGGUAGAGCAGCGAGCGCCAGCGGUCAUGUACGCGAACGCUCAUCCAUGCAGGUCGCGGGUUCGAGCCCGCCCUAGACC